GUGCUCAGCAGCUUCUGUCACUAGCUCUGAAUGGCCCGUCUCCUGGACAAAGAAGCUUUCACGGACUACCCUGCAGGGAGGUGACAUUGGACCAGAGCUGACUCCACCUGGGGGAAAGAGUAAUUCUCUGGUUUCUUUAUAGGUGCCUGUGUGGAAAGAGUCAGGGAGGGAUUGGGUGACUUCUAGACCAAUUAACUUUUCUUCUUUCCCAUCCAAGGGAGUCCAGAGAGGGAAGGGAAAGAUCUAACAACUCUAGCCUUUGUGGUUGGCCUCGUGGAUGGGGUGGGAGUCCUGGCAGCUCCACUUCUGACUGGAAGGGGUUCACUUGAUCCUUUUCUUUCACCUGGAACCUUAGUUGAAUAAAGGUCAAGUGACAUAUUUUAGUGCCUUACUUGAGAGCCAUGUUUCCAAAUCUAGUACCUUUGAUAAAAGUGAGGAGGCUGUGGACAGCUCUCUCCCUCUGACCAGCACUUAUCCUGGCAGCUGCCAACAUCCUGGGCCAUGAGAAUAAGGGUGUCUACGUGCUGAUGAGUGGGCUGGACCUGGAGCGGCUGGUGCUGGCCGGGGGGCCUCUUGGGCUCAUGCAAGCGGUCCUGGACCACACCAUUCCCUACCUGCACGUGAGGGAAGCCUUUGGC
rnacentral:sRNA from 1 species